GUAUGAAGUUGAAUUAAAUGAGAGAGUCCAGUGGGAAUAGCCUAUCUUUGGGAGAAAUCUGCUUCACGCCUUCGCCCUACUACCUACUAGCUGUAUGCUCUGCACC